ensembl:misc_RNA Metazoa_SRP Metazoan signal recognition particle RNA
GCCGGGCGUGGUGGUGUGUGCCUGUAAUCCCAGCUACUCAGGAGGCUGAGGCAGGAGAAUCACUUGAACCUGGGAGACAGAUGUUGCAGUGAGCCGAGAUCGUGCCACUGCACUCCAGCCUAGGUAACAGAGUGAAACUCUGUCUCAG